AAAGUAUGAUUCCCAGAGGAAAAUCGAGUGAGAGGAGGAAGAUUAACUUUUAUUUUUUUUCUUUCCUUUUCUUAUGCAACCUUGCCAUGUGUCACAAUGUGACAAGUUUAUUUUGAAAUUUGAAAGAGAGUAGUUGUACAGGCGUAAUCCUAUGAUAUCAAUGCACCUUUUAUUUUGAUUUUUUUAAUAUUUUAAUUGUUGUUAUUUUCAUUUAGGAUUUUGUGAUGCAUUUGAUUGUUGGGCCAUUACCAUGUUUAGCUUUAAGCCCAUCAAUCC
rnacentral:lncRNA from 1 species